CCAAAGAAACCGAAGAAACCAAAGAAAAUAACGCAAGGAUCAAAUAUGUCCUGGAGGAAGAGGGACCUGGAUGGGAACAUUCUACCCCAACAUUGGAAUAAGAAUCGAUCUGUUAAACCUUCCAGCUCUCUGGAGUCCCCAGAGGUCGAGGAGACACAUGAGAUUCCUCUACAGGUCCCAAGUCUUGAUCAACAUCUUCUCACACUGAGAAACCUGUUGGGUUCUCUCACUGUCCCUGCAUCAUCAGAAGAAU